GUGACUUAUAUAUCAAAAUAUACAUAAUUUAAAUAACAUGUUUUUAAAUGUUAAUUCAUACUGUAAACAUUACCCUCUACAGCUGCGAGAGGGCGCUCUAGGCUUGUGACAACUAUAUGCUGCUCCUAAAGACAACUGAGAAAGACUAAAGAGGUAAACUGCAAGUAGUAAAA